AACAAACGCUGGCGGCGUGCCUAAUACAUGCAAGUCGAACGGGGAAAGCUUUCGGGUGAGUACUAGUGGCGCACGGGUGAGUAACGCGUGGAUAAUCUGCCUUAGAGUGGGGGAUAACUAGUCGAAAGAUUAGCUAAUACCGCAUAAGACCACAAGAACUGCGGUUCAAGGGGUCAAAGGUUUUUCGCUCUAAGAUGAGUCCGCGUAAGAUUAGCUAGUUGGUAGGGUAACGGCCUACCAAGGCGACGAUCUUUAACUGGUCUGAGAGGAUGAUCAGUCACACUGGAACUGAGACACGGUCCAGACUCCUACGGGAGGCAGCAGUAGGGAAUAUUGCACAAUGGAGGAAACUCUGAUGCAGCGACGCCGCGUGAGUGAUGAAGGCCUUCGGGUCGUAAAGCUCUGUCGUAUGGGACUAACACAAUGAAGGUACCAUGCAAGAAAGGAUCGGCUAACUUCGUGCCAGCAGCCGCAGUAACAC
rnacentral:rRNA from 1 species